UACGUAGGGUGCAAGCGUUAAUCGGAAUUACUGGGGCGUAAAGCGUGCGCAGGCGGUUGUGCAAGACAGAUGUGAAAUCCCCGGGCUCAACCUGGGAAUUGCAUUUGUGACUGCACGGCUAGAGUGUGUCAGAGGGGGGUAGAAUUCCACGUGUAGCAGUGAAAUGCGUAGAGAUGUGGAGGAACACCGAUGGCGAAGGCAGCCCCCUGGGUCAACACUGACGCUCAUGCACGAAAGCGUGGGGAGCAAACAGG
rnacentral:rRNA from 1 species